rnacentral:rRNA from 1 species
AACGAACGCUGGCGGCAGGCCUAACACAUGCAAGUCGAGCGAGGACUUCGGUCCUAGCGGCGGACGGGUGAGUAACGCGUGGGAACGUGCCCUUUGCUUCGGAAUAGCCCUGGGAAACUGGGAGUAAUACCGGAUGAGCCCUUUGGGGGAAAGAUUUAUCGGCGAAGGAUCGGCCCGCGUUGGAUUAGGUAGUUGGUGGGGUAAUGGCCUACCAAGCCGGCGAUCCAUAGCUGGUUUGAGAGGAUGAUCAGCCACACUGGGACUGAGACACGGCCCAGACUCCUACGGGAGGCAGCAGUGGGGAAUCUUAGACAAUGGGGGAAACCCUGAUCUAGCCAUGCCGCGUGAGCGAUGAAGGCCUUAGGGUUGUAAAGCUCUUUCAGCUGGGAAGAUAAUGACGGUACCAGCAGAAGAAGCCCCGGCUAACUCCGUG